GUCGGGCGUGGUGGCGCACGCCUGUAAUCCCAGGUACUUGGGAGGCUGAGGCAGAAGAAUCACUUGAACCCAGGAGGGAGAGGUUGCAGUGAGCUGAGAUCAUGCCACUGCACUCCAGCCUGGGCAACAGAGUGAGACUCUGUUUCCA
rnacentral:SRP_RNA from 1 species